UUGAAAGGGAAACGAUUGAAGUAGGGUACUUUGGAGUCAGUCGCACCGGUGCCUAUCGGCCUUUCGUUAAAUGAUGUGAAGCGUGAUUCGUUAAACGCCUUCAUGCCUGAUAUUCAUGUUCUUUGUAUGUACUUACCCGCGUGAUAGGUUAACGUCAAUUUCGAUGUAAUAAAUGGUUGGGGUAAUGUGGAUUCGGACUCGUAUUGAAGUGGUAUAGCCUCCGGCGGAUGAGAUGGACGUUGUUGAGGAUGCGACGAAUACCCUUCUGGACUACCCGCAUGGUCUCUGAUGAAUGCCCUGUAGGCCCACAAAUGCUCAUUCAAAAAGCUGAUUUCUCGUCGGAACGUUAGAAUGCGAUAAAUUCGUUAAGGAUGUUGACGUA
rnacentral:rRNA from 1 species